rnacentral:rRNA from 1 species
CAUAGCGACUAUCGUGGCAUAUCAAUAAGCGGAGGAAAAGAAACUAACAAGGAUUCCCUAGUAACGGCGAGUGAAGCGGGAAGAGCUCAAAUUUGAAAUCUUAAAGGUUUUCCCUUGACGAAUUGUAGUUUAAAGAAGUGUUUUCUGUUGGAGUUUUCGGUAAAAGUUCUUUGGAAUAGGACAUCAUAGAGGGUGAGAAUCCCGUAUUUGACCAGUUACUUUCCAGCUGUGUGAUACACCUUCAAAGAGUCGGAUUGUUUGGGAAUGCAGUCCAAAAUGGGUGGUAAAUUUCAUCUAAAGCUAAAUAUUGGCGAGAGACCGAUAGCGAACAAGUACCGUGAGGGAAAAGAUGAAAAGAACUUUGAAAAGAGAGUUAAACAGUACGUGAAAUUGUCAAAAGGGAAGCGUUUGACACCAGUGUUGUUUAGUUGAAAAUCAAUUCAAUAAUUUUUGAUUUUGAGUAGUAUUGACUUCAUCAGCUUGCUGCUCUCUUUUCCGAAAUUAUUGAAUGCACUUUUCAGUUAACAAGUCAACAUCAGUUUCUUUUGUUGUAAAAGGGUAAGAGGAAGGUGGCUUACGCUUCGGCGUAAGUGUUUAUAGCCUUUUACCUCUGCAAUCGGAGAGAUUGAGGACAGCAGCGUAGACUCCUUCGGGGUUAGAUGCACUUGUGCUAAGCUAUAGCCUUGUAUAGACAACUUGUUGACUAUGCUCAGUCAUGUAGCUUACUCGCUUGUGCUAUUUUACCUACGCUUAGGAUGUUGACGCGCGUGUGUGCGUG